GGAUCAAGCCUGGACCUGAGAAAUUGAUUCCUCAGAGCUGUAAGACUUGUGACCAUGUUAAGGACUCCACACACUGGCUUCAGAUUGAACCCUUGACUUCCACUGUCCAGGGAGUGACAAUGUUCAGCCACAGGACACCCAAAGGGAGUUAUGAGUGCACAGUGUCUGGGCUCCGCUGGCUGUGUGAGAGAGAUGUAAUUCUGAAGUAUCACUUCAGGAACUGGGAACCCUACAGUCAACUUCUGAAGACAUGCAGUACACACAAGGUGGUCCAUUGCUGGACAUCACUAUGGAGUUAGGUGAACUGGAGGAAGUUCAUCUGCCACACUUUGUCUGUUUAGGUAA